GAUGAACGCUGGCGGCGUGCCUAAUACAUGCAAGUCGAGCGAACAGACGAGGAGCUUGCUCCUCUGACGUUAGCGGCGGACGGGUGAGUAACACGUGGAUAACCUACCUAUAAGACUGGGAUAACUUCGGGAAACCGGAGCUAAUACCGGAUAAUAUAUUGAACCGCAUGGUUCAAUAGUGAAAGACGGUUUUGCCGUCACUUAUAGAUGGUUCCGCGCCGCAUUAGCUAGUUGGUAAGGUAACGGCUUACCAAGGCAACGAUGCGUAGCCGACCUGAGAGGGUGAUCGGCCACACUGGAACUGAGACACGGUCCAGACUCCUACGGGAGGCAGCAGUAGGGAAUCUUCCGCAAUGGGCGAAAGCCUGACGGAGCAACGCCGCGUGAGUGAUGAAGGUCUUCGGAUCGUAAAACUCUGUUAUUAGGGAAGAACAAAUGUGUAAGUAACUAUGCACGUCUUGACGGUACCUAAUCAGAAAGCCACGGCUAACUACGUG
rnacentral:rRNA from 1 species